GCUCAGCUGGUAGAGCAGAGGACUGAAAAUCCUCGUGUCAACAGUUCAAAUAAACGUAGGUG
rnacentral:tRNA from 1 species